GGACUACACGGGUUUCUAAUCCUGUUUGCUCCCCUAGCUUUCGUGCAUCAGCGUCAGUAAUGGUCCAGUGAGCCGCUUUCGCCACAGGUGUUCCUUCCGAUAUCUACGCAUUUCACCGCUACACCGGAAAUUCCACUCACCUCUCCCAUACUCAAGCCCGACAGUUUCCUGUGCAGACUCUGGGUUGAGCCCAGAGAUUUCACACAAGACUUAUCAAACCGCCUACGCACCCUUUACGCCCAAUAAUUCCGAACAACGCUUGCCCCCCUCGUAUUACCGCGGCUGCUGGCAC
rnacentral:rRNA from 1 species